AUGAACGCUAGCGACAGGCCUAAACAUGCAAGUCGAGGGGCAUCGGGGCGUAGCAAUACGGCUGCCGGCGACCGGCGGAUGGGUGAGUAACGCGUAUGCAACCUGCCUUCAGCAGGGGGAUAGCCCGUUGAAAGACGGAUUAAUACCCCGUAACACAGGGGCUCCGCAUGGAGAUUAUUGUUAAAGGGAUACUUCCUUCGGGGGGUAUUCCGGCUGAAGGAUGGGGCAUGCGUUCCAUUAGGUAGUUGGUUGAGGUAACGGCUCACCAAGCCUACGAUGGAUAGGGGAACUGAGAGGUUGGUCCCCCACACUGGUACUGAGACACGGACCAGACUCCUACGGGAGGCAGCAGUGAGGAAUCUUGGUCAAUGGACGGAAGUCUGAACCAGCCAUGUCGCGUGAAGGAGGACGGCCCUAAGGGUUGUAAACUUCUUUUGCAGCGGAAUAAAGUAUUCCACGAGAUGGGAUAUUGCAAGUACGCUGCGAAUAAGGAUCGGCUAACUCCGUG
rnacentral:rRNA from 1 species